UACGUAGGGUGCAAGCGUUGUCCGGAUUUAUUGGGUUUAAAGGGUGCGUAGGCGGUUAAUUAAGUCAGUGGUGAAAUCCUGGAGCUCAACUUCAGAACUGCCAUUGAUACUGGUUGACUUGAGUACAGACGAGGUUGGCGGAAUUGAUGGUGUAGCGGUGAAAUGCAUAGAUACCAUCAAGAACACCGAUUGCGAAGGCAGCUAACUAGGCUGUAACUGACGCUGAGGCACGAAAGUGUGGGGAUCAAACAGG
rnacentral:rRNA from 1 species